GAAACGUUGCCUUGGUUAGUCGGGAAAUCACUGGAAAGUGUAGAGCAGACCAAAGGGAAGGGAAGUUGUUAUCACUUAAAUCUGGACUCCUUGCAGAAUUACUCCCAGCAGUUUUUCAGAAGAGAAGACACAGCAGUCAACUCCUCUCAAUUUAUAGAUCAGAGACGGGGAACCUUGUCAUUGAUAUCCACCAAAGAUUCUGAGUGCCAGAAAGUUGAAGUUAGUGACAGCACUAAAAUAAGGACAAUUUUUGGUGUUCCAAUUUUCAGUGCCUCCAAGGACUUGCAUGCAGCCCGUUCUCUCGCAAAGGCCACUUUUCCUGAUAUUGACGGUGUUACUGCUACAAUCAUUUCACGGGAUGAGACUGUUUGUACAAAGAAGGUGAAAGCUAAGGAUUUUGUUCAAGACAAAGGACUCAAUUUUUGCACUUCUGGUUUAAGGUAUCAGAUUGAUUUGAACUUGUCUUUAGAUGAAGAAGAGGCACCCUCCGCUUCGCCUCUUCCUCAGGCUGUGGUGAGGAUUGCAACCACUGAGAUAGACUUAGAGGCUCCAGCAGUUCUUGAAUCUGAAGAAGAAUGUGGGAAUUCUAAAAUUACAUUAGAAGAAUCUGAUAAGUUGAGUGAAGAAGCCAUGAGGGUUGCUGCAGAGUCUAUAAUUUCCAUCUCAGCAUCUAGUCUUGUUAAUGGAGAUACGAAUGAUGUGUUGCAAACUGAACCUAGUGACUGCCUCAAAUGGUUUGCUGAUUUGGUCUCCUCCCACUCUAGUGGCCAAGAAUGCAUUACUAGAAAGAUCAGCUCAGGUACAGUGUCCGAGUUUGAUGAGGAAUCCAUUCCCGAUGGCUUUGAUCAUUUCGAGUUUAUGACACUCAAGCUGGAAGAUUUGAAGGAAGAAGAGUAUUCCUAUAAAAUGCCAACAAUGGAGAGCCAUGAUGACGAAGAAACGGGGGCCACUACCUUACCCAAACGGCCUCGAAGAGGGCAAGCAAGAAGGGGCAGGCAACGGAGAGAUUUCCAGAGGGACGUUCUUCCUGGUCUUAUAUCCCUGUCGAGGUAUGAGGUGAACAAGGAUAUUCUGGAAUUUGAAGAGCUGUUUAAAGCUAGUGGAUCCUCUUGGCAGUCUAGCUUAUCACAUAGGAAAACCGGUAAGAGUGGCAGGGGAAGGCGUCGUUUAACAAAUGCUGAUCCUUCCCCAACAAUUCCUGCUGAUUGCACACCUCCGGUAAACCAGCCUUGUUCUAGUGAGCUGGGGCUCGAGGAAAAAAGUCUAACCGGGUGGGGAAAGAGAACGAGACGCUUGCCAAGGCAGAGAUAUCUAAACCAUAAUCUUACUCUUCCUCUGAAGCAAUGUUGAUAUGUAGGUUGCACUCACAUCACGAGUUUGAACCUUGCUGCAGACAAAACAAAAACUUGGUAGAGGGGCGAGUCUAUUAUCCAUCGGGGGUAUAAGAGCACCAAGGUUUCUUGCAGCUUCUCUCUUAAGGGAUCUCAUGACCAUUAGAGCUUAUUUUGUACAUUUCUGUGUAAAACUUAAAAUGUCAC
rnacentral:misc_RNA from 1 species